UCGGGAAUAUUGCGCAAUGGAGGAAACUCUGACGCAGUGACGCCGCGUGCAGGAAGAAGGUUUUCGGAUUGUAAACUGCUUUAGACAGGGAAGAAACAAGACAGUACCUGUAGAAUAAGCUCCGGCUAACUACGUGCCAGCAGCCGCGGUAAUACGUAGGGAGCAAGCGUUAUCCGGAUUUAUUGGGUGUAAAGGGUGCGUAGACGGGAAUGCAAGUUGGUUGUGAAAUCCCUCGGCUCAACCGAGGAAUUGCAACCAAAACUAUAUUCUUGAGUGCUGGAGAGGAAAGUGGAAUUCCUAGUGUAGCGGUGAAAUGCGUAGAUAUUAGGAGGAACACCAGUGGCGAAGGCGACUUUCUGGACAGUAACUGACGUUGAAGCACGAAAGUGUGGGGAGCAAAACAGGAUUAGAUACC
rnacentral:rRNA from 1 species